ACGGGUGAGUAACACGUGUAGUAACCUGCGCCUUGACUCUGGGAUAAGCCUGGGAAACCGGGUCUAAUACCGGAUAUGACCUGUCACCGCAUGGUGGCGGGUGGAAAGAUUUUUUGGUCUUGGAUGGACUCGCGGCCUAUCAGCUUGUUGGUGGGGUAAUGGCCUACCAAGGCGACGACGGGUAGCCGGCCUGAGAGGGUGACCGGCCACACUGGGACUGAGACACGGCCCAGACUCCUACGGGAGGCAGCAGUGGGGAAUAUUGCACAAUGGGCGCAAGCCUGAUGCAGCGACGCCGCGUGAGGGAUGAAUGCCUUCGGGUUGUAAACCUCUUUCAGCAGGGAAGAAGCGAAAGUGACGGUACCUGCAGAAGAAGCGCCGGCUAACUACGUGCCAGCAGCCGCGGUAAUACGUAGGGCGCAAGCGUUGUCCGGAAUUAUUGGGCGUAAAGAGCUCGUAGGCGGUUUGUCGCGUCUGCUGUGAAAGCCCGGGGCUCAACCCCGGGUCUGCAGUGGGUACGGGCAGACUAGAGUGCACUAGGGGAGACUGGAAUUCCUGGUGUAGCGGUGAAAUGCGCAGAUAUCAGGACGAACACCGAUGGCGAAGGCAGGUCUCUGGGCUGUAACUGACGCUGAGGAGCGAAAGCAUGGGGAGCGAACAGGAUUAGAUACCCUGGUAGUCCAUGCCGUAAACGUUGGGCAAUAGGUGUGGGGGACAUUCCACGUUUUCCGCGCCGUAGCUAACGCAUUUAAGUGCCCCGCCUGGGGGAGUACGGCCGCAAGGCUAAAACUCAAAGGAAUUGACGGGGGCCCGCACAAGCGGCGGAGCAUGCGGAUUAAUUCGAUGCAACGCGAAGAACCUUACCAAGGCUUGACAUGGGCCGGACCGGGCUGGAAACAGUCCUUCCCUUCGGGGCCGGUUCACAGGUGGUGCAUGGUUGUCGUCAGCUCGUGUCGUGAGAUGUUGGGUUAAGUCCCGCAACGAGCGCAACCCUCGUUCCAUGUUGCCAGCGCGUAUUGGCGGGGACUCAUGGGAGACUGCCGGGGUCAACUCGGAGGAAGGUGGGGACGACGUCAAAUCAUCAUGCCCCUUAUGUCUUGGGCUUCACGCAUGCUACAAUGGCCGGUACAAUGGGUUGCGAUACUGUGAGGUGGAGCUAAUCCCAAAAAGCCGGUCUCAGUUCGGAUUGGGGUCUGCAACUCGACCCCAUGAAGUCGGAGUCGCUAGUAAUCGCAGAUCAGCAACGCUGCGGUGAAUACGUUCCCGGGCCUUGUACACACCGCCCGUCAAGUCACGA
rnacentral:rRNA from 1 species